GGGCCCGCACAAGCAGCGGAGCAUGUGGUUUAAUUCGAAGCAACGCGAAGAACCUUACCUAGACUUGACAUCUCCUGAAUUACUCGUAAUGGAGGAAGCCCUUCGGGGCAGGAAGACAGGUGGUGCAUGGUUGUCGUCAGCUCGUGUCGUGAGAUGUUAGGUUAAGUCCUGCAACGAGCGCAACCCUUAUCAUUAGUUGCUACCAUUAAGUUGAGCACUCUAGUGAGACUGCCGUGGUUAACGCGGAGGAAGGUGGGGAUGACGUCAAAUCAUCAUGCCCCUUAUGUCUAGGGCUACACACGUGCUACAAUGGGUGAUACAAAGAGAUGCAAUACAGUGAUGUGGAGCAAAACUAUAAAAUCACCCUCAGUUCGGAUUGUAGGCUGAAACUCGCCUACAUGAAGCUGGAGUUGCUAGUAAUCGCGAAUCAGCAUGUCGCGGUGAAUACGUUCCCGGGCCUUGUACACACCGCCCGUCACACCAUGAGAGCUGGCAACACCCGAAGUCCGUAGUCUAACCGUAAGGGAGACGCGGCCGAAGGUGGGGUUAGUGAUUGGGGUGAAGUCGUAACAAGGUAGCCGUAGGAGAACCUGCGGCU
rnacentral:rRNA from 1 species